GAGAGUAAAGGGUUAACGCAACCUAGAGUAAAAACAUAAGAGGCCGUGUUAACUGCUUAGCAUGCUAGCCGACUUCUCCAUAGGUAUUAACCUGCACACACAUGACAAGCUAACUUGGCUAACAUUAGCUUAAAAGGUACACUCAAAUAUGUCGCUUUAGUGGCCCCCACCUUGGAAAACAGCAACGUUUGCGUCUCUUUCGAAGCAACGAUGUAACAAAAUGCACCUCUUCUGGCCGCUUGUGUGAGCCAAGAGGGGGGACCCGGAGAUAUAGAUGAACAGCGAUGUUGCAGAGAGGUGGCCCACCGACCGGCGACCUCAGCCGCCCGCUACGUGGCCCCGCCGAGUGUGCUCUGACGUCGGCGUCCCGCGUUCAUCCCAGGCCGCCUUCGCCUCUCCUCCCCUCCCCUCGUAGUCGUAGUCUGUACAGGCGCGCCACUGUCUGGAUGGAUGGAUGGAUUGAUUCCUUUCCGGGGGGGCGCAUACUCAGACGUCCAUGAUUGAUUAAUUCAUUAACACAUUAUUAUCAAUGGCAAUCCAUCAUUUUAACAACUUAUAAGACAUUUAAUCGUCAUAUGUAUUGCAGUUGUAUGACAUGUUUACAACAAAACGAAUACUCAGUGUGAGUGCAGGCCAGGACCAGGAGGGGUCCAGCUCAGUUGGAUGGUCUCUGGAGUUCUCACAUCUCAGAUGUACAAGCAAGACUACAAAUGGUACUGGUAAGUACUGCAUGUUGUUCUGAAGCCAUGCUUUUUUUUAAUAAUGUUCCAACAGUAAUAUGUGUAAUACCUUAAAGUCAACAUCACCUGCCUCACUUGUUUGCACGCCAACAUUUGCUUACUUUGUCAUUUGUCGUAUUUUGUUCCCUAACACGGGCUGUUUUUCCCACACAGAAAACACAUCUCACUCACCCUAACUUGGUAAUAGUUUGUAAAUACACAAUAAUGUAAACAGCAUCCACUAGCUACAGUCUAAGUGAUAAUAUUCAUUAAUUUUCUACUGCUUUUCCUCACAAGGGUUGCAGGGGAUGCUGGAGCCUAUCCCAGCUGUCUUUGGGUGAGAGGCGGGGUAUACCCUGGACUGGUCGCCAGCCAAUCACAGGGCACAUAUAGACAAACAACCAUUCACACUCACAUUCAUACCUAUGGACAAUUUGGAGUCGCCAAUUAACCCAGCAUGUUUUUGGAAUGUGGGUGAAAACCGGAGUACCCGAAAGAAAACACAUCUCAGCUUUGUGAUAUAUAGGUGAAAAAGUGUAUGAAAUACAGAUUUUUAUGUAUUUUUUUGAAUGUGAAUGAAAACGAAGCUGCAGGCCGUCAAUGGCCCCCAGCUAGAGACAACUCUGAUGUAGCAGCACAGUAGUCCUUCAAGUGUUGGAUACUCUGGCGCCUUCUUGUGGCGACAAAUAAUACCUCAAAGGCACUCAGCUGACCAGAGAGGCGAAUAUGGUACUCGGGUGAGUUUUCCCACUCAAAAAUAAAGCCAUACGAAUACCUGUGAAUGCUACUCAUUGUAUUACUGCCUUUGUGUUGUGUGCAAAACGAUGCUAACCCUCAACGUUUAAAUGAUUGACAUCCAAACCCAUUGAGAACAAUGGAAUUUAAUAGUCUUGUCGAAGGAAUCUCUGGUUUUUAUCUCAAUGCAAACAUGUUAUUUCCACAAAUGCUGAAUGCAGCAUCAACUGGUUAGCUUUACAGAUUAAACUGCAUGACCAACAAAACAAACUUCUUCCUCACACAUUGGUCGACGAAUAUAUCUGCAACCGAGAGCGGUCAUUGGCAGUGUCCUCACUGGGGCAGCUGGAGCAACGUGCCCUGCCCCGACGGCAAGUACGUGAUGUUUCGGGAGCGGGAAAGCUGGAAGGCGAUAUCCUCGGCCGCCUCCAGCUUACGCAGCUCCACCAGGCCGUCGCCAGCCUCCAUGAGGGAGUUGGCGAUGAGCAAGGCAGCCUGGGAAUCACCCUCGGCCGAAAUGAUGGCGGCCUGCUUCUGUUGUUCUGCCUAAAAGGGGCAACAUCGGGUGUUAAGAUGUCACGUUUAUGCCAAAGUGACAUCAUUCUAACAGCGACACUUGAGCCAGUGGGCUCUACUGUAUAUCAAUCUGACUCUCUGUCCCCCACACAGGACAGCAAUCUAUUUGUGGUGGUGGAUUGAGGUGGGGUGGCUAGAUUACAUCGUAUUUGCAUAAUUGGCCUUGAAGCAUGUACAUGCUAUUUUUUAUGUAAGCUGUGGGAAAUUUAAUUCACUUUCUACUGUUGCUUCUUUUUUAAAUAACACCUGUGAGUGCUUAAAAAUGUUUUUUUUAAUGUUUUAUCCUCUAAUGCUCACUUAUUCUCUGUCAGACUAGGUGUGUAUGUGGCGAAUUAAGCAGGUUUACGAUGCCCUCUGUUGUACAGAGGUGGAACUACAAGCUAGAGUCACAGACAGUCCCAUUAUAAUGUGUUUAUGAGCGAGCCAAAAUAGUGCUAAUAUGUAUGUAUUAAUGGCAGGCCGCAACAAAUGAAUGCAAAACACUAAUUAAACAUAAUUUAACAAAAAUAAAGCAUCAUUCAAUUUGCUGUACGUGCUUGAGUCCCUUUUUUUUUGAUUGGCUUGACUCAAGUAUAAAAAACAUAAAUUAAGUAAUGAAUACAUAUAAACAUAAGGACUUAAAUUGCCAAAAAUGCAUUAAUGCAUUAAAUGCAAUAAUUUUUAUUAAAAAAAUGAAAUAAAAGUGGGUAACGACUGUAAAAAGUGUCUCCCAGACUGAUGAAAUAGUAAAAUAAGUUACCUUUUCCACAACAAAUCUGGCUCUCUCGGCUUCCUGCUGGGCCACCUGCUUCAUCUCAACGGCUUCUGUGAAUUCUUUGCCGAAUGUCAAGUGUGUCUGAAAGGACAUAAAAAUUCAGUGAGGAUGCAACACAGCCAGCCACAAGUACUUGGACACAGUCCCCCUAUAGGAAGUCAAGUAAAUCUGUACUAGUACUACUCAUCUGGAAGAUAUUCUAUGAGAUUUCAGAGUGUGUGUGUGGGAGUUUUGAUGCAUCAUCUGUUCUUCCUACCAGCGAGACAUCAUCUAGGAUGAGGCCGAAGGUGGAGGCUCUCUCCGUGAGGUCCUCGCUGACCUGCCGAGACACCAGCUCUCUCUGUGUGAUCAGCUCGCCGGCGUCGAAGCGAGCCUAACGAAUCACCACAUUUCACACACGUAAAUAAAAACAAAAUCAACAAUAAGUCAGAAAUGAGUGUCUUCCUGCUUGCUACGCACCACAACCGCCUUGAGGACCUCUGUGGUGAUGGACGGCAGCACCCUUUCGUCGUAAUCCUCGCCGAUGCUCGUGAAGAUCCGUGGGAGCUGGUUGCUCACCGGCCGGAAGAGGAUACGCAGGGUAAUGUUUACGUUCUGUAGAUCUGCAGAGUGACCCGAGUGUAUUAGGCGUACAGGUGGAGCACAAUGCGGCAUGACAUCCGGAGCUACUGUACCUUUGCUUCCUGUGAUGACGGGCACGUUCCGCGGACGGGAACGGCAAUCGAAAAUGAUGGGCUUCUGCACCCACGGGAUGAGGAAGUGCGUGCCCUCGCCGACGACCGAAUCCUGGACUCCUCUGAAUCGGUCAAAUAUCACUGCCUGGUGUCCUGCGUCGAC